CAGCAGCCGCGGGAAUACCGAGGGUGCAAGCGUUAAUCGGAAUUACUGGGCGUAAAGCGCGCGUAGGUGGUUUGUUAAGUUGGAUGUGAAAGCCCCGGGCUCAACCUGGGAACUGCAUCCAAAACUGGCAAGCUAGAGUACGGUAGAGGGUGGUGGAAUUUCCUGUGUAGCGGUGAAAUGCGUAGAUAUAGGAAGGAACACCAGUGGCGAAGGCGACCACCUGGACUGAUACUGACACUGAGGUGCGAAAGCGUGGGGAGCAAACAGGAUUAGAUACCCCGGUAGUCCCUGUCUCUUAUAC
rnacentral:rRNA from 1 species